GACGUAGGAUGCAAGCGUUGUUCGGAUUUAUUGGGCGUAAAGCGUACGUAGGCGGCUAUCUAAGUCUGGUGUUAAAGCUAGGGGCUCAACCCCUGUGAUGCACUGGAAACUGGGUAGCUUGAGUGCGGUAGGGGAAGGUGGAAUUCCGAGUGUAGCGGUGAAAUGCGUAGAUAUUCGGAAGAACACCGGUGGCGAAGGCGACCUUCUGGGCCGUUACUGACGCUGAGGUACGAAAGCGUGGGGAGCAAACAGG
rnacentral:rRNA from 1 species